CUUAGAAAAGCAAGGGAAGCAGGCAAAGUGCUCCUAGAGGGCACAGAGAUACAACUAUACCCUGACCUAUCACCAACCACAUUGGCAUACCGACGGGCCUUACGCCCCUUUACCAAGCAAUUGCAGGCGUAAAAAAAUAAAAUACUGCUGGUGCUUCCUGAACAGACUCCAGGUCCACACGUCUAAGGGCCCCUUCGAAAUCAGGGAGAGAGCAGACAUGGACACUCUCGCAAGAGAACUAAAGAUCACGCCAGCUCACAUACAGUGGCCAGACCUCCUGACGCUCUACACACCCGCCCGGGGUCAGGGGAACUAGGCCGCAGGAUCUCACAUCCCGAGAACCACCCGCCAGCAGGCAACAGGCCCCCGAUGCCACUGACACAGCGGAGUCAAUUAAGGUGCCCAACCUAAGCACACAGCGCUUGACACUAGGGCAUUCAUCCCAUUCAUGAGAGACUCGCAUCCAGCCUGCCUGGCUUACUAAACUCUGCAAUGCCCACGUGACAGCAGGAGCUAAAAGCAUACCCCUUUAACAUCAUAUCAU